rnacentral:rRNA from 1 species
ACGAAGCAGAAGUGAGAAUGUCGGCUUGAGUAACGAAAAUAUAGGUGAGAAUCCUAUACCCCGAAAACCCAAGGUUUCCUCCGGAAGGCUCGUCCGCGGAGGGUAAGUCAGGACCUAAGGCGAGGCUGAAAAGCGUAGUCGAUGGACAACGGGUUAAUAUUCCCGUACCAUUUUUUAUUGACAACGAGGGACGGAGAAGGCUAAGCUAGCCGGAUAUUGGUUACCGGUUUAAACGUUCAAGAUGUUGAGAAGCGGCGAAAACGCUUUGAGUUGAGACGUGAGUACGAGACGCUAAGGCGUCGAAGUAGUGUAUGUCAUACUUCCAAGAAAAGCUUGCACUGUCAUAAAUAAAAAAUGCCUGUACCAUAACCGACACAGGUGGGUAGGUAGAGUAUACUAAGGGGCGCGAGAUAACUCUCUCUAAG